CAGCUAUAUCACAUUGAAACAUCGGUUCCAUAUGAUCACCAAAGUUAAGCAACAUCGAGCCUGGUCAGUACCUAGGAUGGGUGACAGCUUGGGAAUACCAAGUGCU